rnacentral:rRNA from 1 species
AUCUGAAGUCACAUGGCUUUGGUUUGUGAUCUCAUUAGCUCACAUAAAUGAAAGAGGCUUGAGCCAGGACAGUACUUAGGUGAGUCCUCCAGGGAAAACUCACAUGCUGCAGGAC